UGUGGGCCUGCUCUACACCGGGCCCACACUAGGGUGGCACAAUCAUGAUACCCACUGGUUACAAUGUAGCCAACCUGGAAUGACUGCAGAGGGAAGCGCCAAGUGGAGGCCUAGGGGAGUGGGCAGACAAUAGACUAGGAAGCUGGGCCAAAGGAGGGAACAUUUAAACUGACCUUCACUCCUUGAGGCCAACUCGAAACCGGCCAUGUAACUUGGGCUUCUUUUAAUGAAUAUGCCGACGGGGCUCUGAAGUUGGAUGGGCCGGGAGAGAGGAGAGGCCUGUUCCAAGACCAAUUCGGUGAGCUUCACCCUUUAAGGCCUCUUUUCCAGCUCAGUGAAAUGAAGAGAGUGAUCGUCUUUAUCUCUUGGGGCUGUUUUGAGGCUUAAUGGAGGUCGGCUGUGCAUCACAACCACAUUAAAGCACCAUCAGCUUGAUGGCAGGCAGUUCUGCCUAGUGGUCAAGCCUA